CUUAACGUCCCUCUCUACUUAGCUAUAUAUUUUAGCAUGCUAUGCUCUCAAAUGACAAGCUGGCCAAUGUUGCAGGUCGCACACAUUCCAACUAUCUUGUUAUAUCCCACAUUACACUCCUUAUUUUUCAUAACCAUGCAAUGCUCCCUACUUCUGCAUUAUUGAGGAACUGCAUUUAAUUAGAUGUGAUGUGUCUUGCAUUUCCACCACACGGUCUUUCACUGGGGAUCUUUGUACUUGGCCUAUACAAUAGAUUCACAAUGUGCCAUCCAAAUUUAAAGACCAAUAUGUGUUUUGGGUUCAGGCUGCAUGCAGCCCUGUGGAUUAUUUUAUGGAGCAAAGGGGCAUGGCAGUUAUACUUUGCUUCAUCUCAACAGACCAGGACUGCUCAGUGGCAUUAACAGGCAUUUAUAUUGUACAACAUGACUGUCUACUUUUUCCUUUAAAGCCAUGACCUCUCUUCUUAUCCCCCCCCCCCUUUUGCUUUCCCACAAAUAAUACAGUCUACUCUAAAAUGUCAUGGGUAGAGGUAACAAAAAAAACUUAAUCUCUGAUCUGUCAUAUGAGCUGGAGAUUCAUUACCAGGGAUAGAUUUUACUUUGCCUGUAAUAUGCAACUAAACACAUUAACUUGGGAAUCUCUUCCUUGUCCAACUGAGGCAAGCAGCAAAGUGUGAGUUAAUAGAAGACAAAAUACCUUUUAGAAGCCACCAGCUUACAUGCUUGCUUAGUUUACCAUUGCAAGCCUAUUGACUGAUGUGUGCAUCAAUCAAUACAGUGUUAACUGGAGAACCAAAGAUUCCUCCCCUCCACCAUAGACCAGAGAAUGAGGUGAUAGAAAAUACUUCAGCAUGGGCUUAUUUUCUCUGCAGCUUUUUAAGACAGGCUAAAGCCACCAUGGUACCCAUCCCCAAUUACUGGCUUGGGCAAAUGAGUGUUUGAGUCCAGCAGUGUCUUGACUUCCCCUGUUUUAAUACGCGGACUGAUGUUUUCUCUGCAAAACCUGGAGGGUUCAAUCAAAAACUUUGACUUCACCCCCCUCCACUCCAAAGGUGCACUUCUCCAUUGUCUCCUAAGACAGACGGAUGCCAUCAACAAAACCAAUCAUCAAAAACAAUGGGGUUCUAGAGAUAAAGGGACAACUUUUCAGUGCAAACUGAACAAUACAUUGCAGAUUUGUGUGUUGUAGAGAGCAUGGUACAAUAUUCCCACAGGAGAAGAGGGACUGUGGAUUUUAUUAGAUCUCCAUGUCCUAGAAUUGUUGUUAAAAAGAAAAAAAGCUGUGUGGAGAAAGCUUGGUUUUAGGUUAUGAACUGUUAAUGACACUCUGGGAAGAGCGGGGUUAAUAUUUAAUCCUCGCAGGAUUUCCCCAAAUAAAACGAUCUUCCUCAUUGUAUUUGCUUGGUUGGAAUGUUUCCUUGAACUCUGAAGAGUCAAUUCCCUUCAUGGAGAAUAUAGAGAAGUGAGUGUAGAAAUUAUCCUAAAUUUAAAACUGAUAAUUCAUUUCUUCAUUCAUGUUUGCCUUUCUGGCCCUGACCACCACUGGGAUAUGGCUUCCAGAAAGUUGUCCAGAAGGGAACAAAGUUACUGGGCUGAAAAAAUAUGAAUGACCUGAAUUUUGUAUCACAUGACCUGCUGUGGCCUGUACAUUGGCUGGUCUGCAGGGAGACCUUUCCUUUGGCCAGGACUGGGUCAUAGCAUACAGAAGACAUCGCUCAGGUCAGUGGUGCAGUUAGAUAAUUUAGGCUCUGAAGUUCAUAAUCUUACGAGGAGCCUCCUCUUUAGAGGUAAAUGUACAUUAUAUCACUUCAGAAUGUGGUAGGCCUGUUCUGAUUCAUUUGGGGACCCUUCUACUCAUUUUGCUGAAUGGGCUGUGGAUGUCCACCCCAAAAGCCCCGGUCUGAGGGGAUCACUGCUUCAGGUUCUAAGUUCCAAAUAUGCUACAGAAUUUGGUUCUGACAUAAGCUACGAACAGCAACAUAUUGGCGCUAUCAGACCUCUCACUAUAAUUGGCACAAUAAGAUUCUAGUUUCACUUCAGUGACUCAAACCCAGAGAUUUCACUUCCUCUUGUAACUCCAAAAGUAAAAUAAAAGAAAGAGUAUCAGCAUCAAGAUAUUCUUGAUGCUCUGACUGCUUUGAGCUCAAGGAAGUAAUUAGCAAACAGUGACAUCUUAAUAGGUGUGAUUAAAAAGGAACACAUUAUUUCAUUAGCACAGAGGGUUUUUUAUUUAAAAAAUGAACUCAAAGGCUUGCUAAAUUUUCAGCUUAAUUACUACGGAGUGUAGAAAAUAAGUAAUCCAAUAAUCAAGAAGAAGAAAAAGAUAAAAAGGAUGUUAUAUAUCCUUUCGAACAGUAUAAUUUAAUCGUAUUCAGUUUGAAUUUUUCUUUGCACCCAAGCUGGCUCAAAGCAAAGACUUUGAACUUAACCCCACUAAGAUUUUCCUUCUCAUUGAGUCUACCCCACCUCUUUAUUUUGACCAAGUACAAAAUCAAAGCCUGAAAAAAUCAGUUUUCAUGCCUCAGGUUUAGGACACCAAACAGCAUGGAUCAUAGAUUGAUGCAUAAGCAUACUGCAUCAGAAUGCAAAUUAAUGAGUCACACUCUAGCACAGCUGAGCUGCCUUAUACUUACCUCAAAGAAAAAGGAUAAGAGGGCUAUCAACUGCUGAGUCAUCUUAUAUAACAGAAUCAGGGAUGGAUCAGAACUCCUCUCUCUGGAAACGAGGUCACGGGGUGGGGAAGGAUUUCAAUGUUUUAUUGCCCAGGGAAGAGGAGGAGAGGCUGGCAAGAGUCAGGGCUAGGAAGGCAGAGGAAACUGGAGAUGAGAUUUCUGUAAGAACUUCUGCAUUAGGCGAAAACUCAGUGGGGAUUCUGCAAAACUAGCCUCUAGCUUUCCAGAGCAUUCCCACAUUAACAGAUGCUUUGAAUUGUCUCACUGGGAACCUCUUUGAAAUGCAAAUCUAACAAGUCUCUCUUCACAUGCAUCUAUUGCUUUUUGAUUGAAAGUGUUUAUUGGGGAGGGGGGAGAUUUGAUGCUGAAAGGAGAUGACACACUUCCACCUAAGGCAAGGCUUCAAUUCCCAUCUUCAGUCUGAAUUAUGAAACAUUGCACUCAACUACCCCAGACUGAAGUAGUUGACUAAUUUUUAAUUACCUGACCUCUGUUGCUAAUGACAGUGGCAGACUUUGGUCUUUAACAUUUUAGUGGUGCCCUGUGCGAGGUGUUCCCCCGCCUCUUGCCUUCCGUUCUGCUCAAUUCACUAUAAUUGUGAAGCCCUUCUGUACCCGCUCCUGUCAGUGCCCAGUGCAGCAGAACUGGUUGCACUCCCCGCAAUUCGUUUCUGUUAAUGACUCAGGGGACUGUAGACUAGACUACCGUAAAAUGCACUAUAUAGGGCUGUCUAAGAAGAAGGACGCGGGCGGCGCUGUGGGUUAAACCACAGAGCCUAGGACUUGCCGAUCAGAAGGUUGGCGGUUCGAAUCUCCGCGACGGGGCGAGCUCCCGUUGCUCGGUUCCUGCUCCUGCCAACCCAGCAGUUCGAAAGCACGUCCAAGUGCAAGUAGAUAAAUAGGUACCGCUCCGGCGGGAAGGUAAACGACAUUUCCAUGCAUUGCUCUGGUUCACCAGAAGCGGCUUAGUCAUGCAGGCCACAUGACCUGGAAGCUGGAUGCAGGCUCCCUUGGCCAAUAAAGCGAGAUGAGUGCUGCAACCCCAGAGUCGGUCAUGACUGGACCUAAUGGUCAGGGGUCCCUUUACCUUUACCUUUAAGAAGAUAGAAGGGAGGUGGCUGUUGGGGCACAUCCUUUGCAUUAAACAGGACUACAGUUCAGUCCCACCUCUCUUUUUCUUACUUUGAUACUAUGAAGCUGCUUGGAGAAGUUUCACAGCAGACAUGUCGUUUUCUGUGUCAUUGUACAUAACAAAGAUCAAUAAUACAUACAUAGGAAAAAAAUGGCUAUCUCCAUCAGCACAGCAUAGGGAAAAGCCAUCUUUUUGUUUGUACAAACACCUUUUAUUGCACAGAAAUGGCAUGCAAUCUCUUCUUUUUAAAAUCAGCUUUGGGUUCAUUGGGUGGCAGAGGUGCCACCCUCGAUACUGUUCAUGCUUCCUUACCUGGAGAUGCCAGGGAUUGAACCUGUGGCCUUUUGAAUGGAAAGCACAUGUUCUUCCCACUAAGCUAUGGCUUCUGCAGCGAAUGUCAUCCCUAAUCAGCACAUACUUAACUGUAAAAUACCCAGAAGCGGCAAGUGAGAUAUGACCACGCCUCACCUCAUGCAUUUUGUCAAGUGAAGUGGUACUUCCAUUACCAGGCCACAUGCUAUGCUCACCAUAGUGAUUAGCAGCUUAGUACAAAUUAUCAUGUGAAUCCUAGGUAUCACAAAUUAUAUAUUCUCAACUCUGCCAGCAGCAUCCUGUAACAUCAGCUAGGGAUCAGAGAAAUGUACUUGAAUCUUAGAGCAUUCCUCUAAGAAUCAUCCACAAGCCUGCUGGAGAGCCAAACUCUCAGGGGAGACUAAAUAAAUGCAUGUAUAGAUGUUGAUAUGGCUGCCAGACUCCCCUAAAUUCAUGGGUCCAGUUGGUGCCAGAAUUUGAGGUGUUAAGACUUGGGUGCAAACCCCAUGAGUAUUAACCCAGACUUGUGUGUUUUAAGCUGUGUGCUAGACACAUCUAAAGCCCUUGGAAUCAGCUAAUCAAGACCAAUUUGCACCGAGUUGUGUGCUAGACAAUUGUGCUAGACAAUUAUAAUAUUUUAAUUAAGACACCUCACCUAUGUGAGGUGAUAGCUUGGGGGAUGAGCCAUUAAGACAACAAAGAGGAUCAAAAAGGGCCCUCCCUCAAAAUAUAAAGUAGAGUUAAUACUAUGAGCCCCUCCUUCAUAGGCUCAGGUUUUAUAUAUUUGUAAAUAAACCAUAUAUAAUAAAGACACGAAAGG